GUUUAAUCCUAAAACAAAACAGUACAUUGUGAUAAAACGAAAGAAGCAUCAAAUUAAGAAAAGUGAUAUAAACUUGUAUCUUUCACACAACAUACAUCCAAUUAUUUAGAAGUAAGUUAGCCGUUUGAAAACGUGUACCAAAAUACACAUUUGAGAAGUGUGAACAACUUUUUCAGUUUUCAGGUAGUGUGGAGUUAUCAGAAGAUAAUAUGCUGACAUCGUGAUGUUGACAUACGGUCCAUAUUGAGAUUCACUGAGUGAGUUACAACUGCCACAAUUGAGGACCCAACAACCCAGACUCAGUCACAACUUCCCAAAGAGACCCUGCAGACCUCACACAAUCAACAAUGUGGAAGAGGGCACUAGUAUCAGGGGCCAGUAUGACAAUGCGCAAUGUUACACGACCGUUGUCUCAGCCACCCCUUGUCAUAGGAACCCAGUGUCUUUGCUUGGGAAGGACACCAUGAUGAUGUCAUUAACAAUGGCUGCCGGGUGUGCUGAGAUCUGUGAGGUUGUACUGGGAUAUAUCUCUCACAGCCACUCGCCACCAGAGAUUCUUGAGCUACCCAUCUGGUCAGAGGAGACAUAGGAAAGGAUGACCAGUGGAAUUCAACACUGCCUUUUUGUCGCAGACCACAAGGAGGACUGAGAAACAAAAAUUACAAUGACAACAAUGGAAUGAAUGUUUUUGGAACCAUUCUUAUUUCUUCUUCCUCUUAGAGUUCUGUUUGAUGUGUUCAUCAGUGCUCAUCUGUUGUCGUCUCCGAAGGAAAAACUGGAAACUUGUCAUAUAGUUCCCCUCAUAAUGAAACAUAAGUAUCCACUAGCUUGCAUCUCCACCGCAUGACAUAAACCAGUGCAUGUUUUCUAUUCUCAGUGGUUUGGGCAUUUCUUUUGAGCGGUUUUGGUAAAGUUUGCUAGCCAAUGGAAGGAUGGUGCAGUGAGUUGGAAAGUGGAAGAGGAGAAAUUUCAGUGUAGGUCAGCAGGGCUACUGUUACAACCUUUCAGUGUAGCUCAGCAGGGCUACUGUUACAACCUUUCAGUGUAGCUCAGCAGGGCUACUGUUACAACCUUUCAGUGUAGCUCAGCAGGGCUACUGUUACAACCUUUCAGUGUAGCUCAGCAGGGCUACUGUUACAACCUUUCAGUGUGGCUCAACAGGGCUACUGUUACAACCUUUCAGUGUAGCUCAGCAGGGCUACUGUUACAACCUUUCAGUGUAGAAAUUGUCACCUUUCAGUGUGGGUACGGUCACCUUUCAGUGUGGGUACGGUCACCUUUCAGUGUGGGUACGGUCACCUUUCAGUGUGGGUACGGUCACCUUUCAGUGUGGGUACGGUCACCUUUCAGUUCUAGAAAUGGCAAGGUGCUUGUUGUGUAAUGUACAUCUAUCCUUAGUGUCACUUCUUCUCACUGAUUUGGAAUGGAAUGUUGCAGUGUAGGUGUCAGGCAAAGAGGAAGGAUCCAGGAAAGGAAUGACUGCAUGACACACACACACUUGUGUCACCCACUUCUCUGUAUCGGUCAAUGGAGCUAACGAGGUGGCAUUUUACAUUUGAAAUAAAUGGUUUAUGAUCGUCUUUGGUAUGCACUCGUCCUUAUUUCUCAGUAAAGUGUUUGUGGGUUUUGUCAUUUGAGUCACUGUAUUAAAAGGGUAAGGAAUUUAAUAUGGUUGUACCUCCUUGGAAACAAUAAAUUAUUAAACAAUCAA